rnacentral:rRNA from 1 species
UACAGAGGGGGCAAGCGUUGUUCGGAAUUACUGGGCGUAAAGGGCGCGUAGGCGGCCUGUUAAGUCGAACGUGAAAUCCCCGGACUCAACCCGGGAACUGCGUCCGAUACUGGCAGGCUUGAAUUCGGGAGAGGGGUGCGGAAUUCCAGGUGUAGCGGUGAAAUGCGUAGAUAUCUGGAGGAACACCGGUGGCGAAGGCGGCAUCCUGGACCGAGAUUGACGCUGAGGCGCGAAAGCCAGGGGAGCAAACGGG